UGUGCCUACGGGAGGCAGCAGUGGGGAAUAUUGGGCAAUGGGCGCAAGCCUGACCCAGCAACGCCGCGUGAAGGACGAAGGUGCCAAGCAUUGUAAACUUCUUUUGUCAAGGGACAAAAUCAGGCUCGAGAGCCUGACCGAGGGUACUUGAAGAAAAAGCAUCGGCUAACUCCGUGCCAGCAGCCGCGGUAAUACGGAGGAUGCGAGCGUUAUCCGGAUUUAUUGGGUUUAAAGGGUGCGUAGGCGGACUGUUAAGUCAGCGGUAAAAGCCCGGGGCUCAACCCCGGCGAGCCGUUGAAACUGGC
rnacentral:rRNA from 1 species